rnacentral:rRNA from 1 species
UACGGAGGAUGCAAGCGUUAUCCGGAAUGAUUGGGCGUAAGCGUCCGCAGGUGGCAAUGUAAGUCUGCUGUUAAAGAGUCUAGCUCAACUAGAUAAGAGCAGUGGAAACUACAUAGCUAGAGUACGUUCGGGGCAGAGGGAAUUCCUGGUGUAGCGGUGAAAUGCGUAGAGAUCAGGAAGAACACCAGUGGCGAAGGCGCUC